rnacentral:rRNA from 1 species
UACGUAGGGUGCGAGCGUUAAUCGGAAUUACGGGGCGUAAAGCGUGCGCAGGCGGUUUUGUAAGCCAGAUGUGAAAGCCCCGGGCUUAACCUGGGAAUGGCAUUUGGGACUGCAAGGCUAGAGUGCGGCAGAGGAGACUGGAAUUCCUGGUGUAGCAGUGAAAUGCGUAGAUAUCAGGAGGAAUACCGAUGGCGAAGGCAGGUCUCUGGGCUGACACUGACGCUCAUGCACGAAAGCGUGGGGAGCAAACAGG